CCUACGGGAGACUGCAGUGGGGAAUAUUGCACAAUGGGGGAAACCCUGAUGCAGCAACGCCGCGUGAGUGAAGAAGUAUUUCGGUAUGUAAAGCUCUAUCAGCAGGGAAGAAGAAAGACGGUACCUGACUAAGAAGCCCCGGCUAACUACGUGCCAGCAGCCGCGGUAAUACGUAGGGGGCAAGCGUUAUCCGGAUUUACUGGGUGUAAAGGGAGCGUAGACGGCAGUGCAAGUCUGAAGUGAAAGCCCGGGGCUCAACCGCCGAACUGCUUUGGAAACUGUAUAGCUGGAGUCCUGGAGAGGCAAGCGGAAUUCCUAGUGUAGCGGUGAAAUGCGUAGAUAUUAGGAGGAACACCAGUGGCGAAGGCGGCCUGCUGGACAGAAACUGACGUUGAGGCUCGAAAGCGUGGGGAGCAAACAGGAUUAGAUACCCGGGUAGUC
rnacentral:rRNA from 1 species